rnacentral:rRNA from 1 species
UACGGGGGGGGCAAGCGUUGUCCGGAAUCAUUGGGCGUAAAGCGCGUGUAGGCGGCCCGGUAAGUCCGCUGUGAAAGUCGGGGGCUCAACCCUCGGAUGCCGGUGGAUACUGUCGGGCUCGAGUACGGAAGAGGCGAGUGGAAUUCCUGGUGUAGCGGUGAAAUGCGCAGAUAUCAGGAGGAACACCAAUUGCGAAGGCAGCUCGCUGGGACGUAACUGACGCUGAGACGCGAAAGCGUGGGGAGCAAACAGG